rnacentral:tRNA from 1 species
GGCGGCAUAGCUCAGUCGGUAGAGCAACGGAAUCAUAAUCCGUCCGUCGUCGGUUCAAAUCCGGCUGCCGCUA